ACCUCUGCAAUAGGCGAAAGCCUGACAGGGUUACUCUGAGUGAUUUCCGUUAAGGAGAUCUUUUGGCACCUCUAAAAAUGGUGCAGAAUAAGGGGUGGGCAAGUCUGGUGUCAGCCGCCGCGGUAAUACCAGCACCCCGAGUGGUCGGGACGUUUAUUGGGCCUAAAGCAUCCGUAGCCGGUUCUACAAGUCUUCCGUUAAAUCCACCUGCUUAACAGAUGGGCUGCGGAAGAUACUAUGGAGCUAGGAGGCGGGAGAGGCAAGCGGUACUCGAUGGGUAGGGGUAAAAUCCGUUGAUCCAUUGAAGACCACCAGUGGCGAAGGCGGCUUGCCAGAACGCGCUCGACGGUGAGGGAUGAAAGCUGGGGGAGCAAACCGGAUUAGAUACCCGGGUAGUCCCAGCUGUAAACGAUGCAGACUCGGUGAUGAGUUGGCUUCUUGCCAACUCAGUGCCGCAGGGAAGCCGUUAAGUUUGCCGCCUGGGGAGUACGGUCGCAAGACUGAAACUUAA
rnacentral:rRNA from 2 species